GAUGAACGCUAGCUACAGGCUUAACACAUGCAAGUCGAGGGGUAACGAGAGGAAAGCUUGCUUUCCUUGUCGACGACCGGCGCACGGGUGAGUAACGCGUAUCCAACCUGCCCCCAACUAGGGAAUAACCUUGCGAAAGUAAGACUAAUACCCUAUAAUUUCCUCAGAUGUCAUCUGACGAGGAAUAAAGAUUUAUCGGUUGUGGAUGGGGAUGCGUCUGAUUAGUUUGUUGGCGGGGUAACGGCCCACCAAGGCAACGAUCAGUAGGGGUUCAGAGAGGAAGGUCCCCCACAUUGGAACUGAGACACGGUCCAAACUCCUACGGGAGGCAGCAGUGAGGAAUAUUGGUCAAUGGGCGGAAGCCUGAACCAGCCAAGUAGCGUGCAGGAUGACGGCCCUAUGGGUUGUAAACUGCUUUUAUACAGGAAUAAAGUUAGCCACGUGUGGUUAUUUGUAGGUACUGUAUGAAUAGGGACCGGCUAAUUCCGUGCCAGCCGCCGCCGUAA
rnacentral:rRNA from 1 species